rnacentral:rRNA from 1 species
UGGGGAAUCUUCCGCAAUGGACGAAAGUCUGACGGAGCAACGCCGCGUGAGUGAUGACGGCCUUCGGGUUGUAAAGCUCUUUUAAUCGGGACGAAUGGUUCUUGUGCGAAUAGUGCAAGGAUUUGACGGUACCGGAAUAGAAAGCCACGGCUAACUACGUGCGAGCAGCCGCGGUAAUACGUAGGUGGCAAGCGUUGUCCGGAAUUAUUGGGCGUAAAGCGCGCGCAGGCGGCUUGGUCAGUUUGUCUUAAAAGUUCGGGGCUUAACCCCGUGAUGGGAUGGAAACUGCCAAUCUAGAGUAUCGGAGAGGAAAGGGGAAUACCUAGUGUAGCGGUGAAAUGCGUAGAUAUUAGGAGGAACACCAGUGGCGAAGGCGACUUUCUGGACGAAAACUGACGCUGAGGCGCGAGAGCCAGGGGAGCGAACGGG